CACAGUCUCAGGUUCCGUGCAAUUGGAUUGU
rnacentral:piRNA from 1 species